UAUCAGAGCAAGGUUGGCUCAAC
rnacentral:snRNA from 1 species